UACGAAGGGGGCUAGCGUUGCUCGGAAUCACUGGGCGUAAAGCGCACGUAGGCGGGUCCUUAAGUCAGGGGUGAAAUCCCGGAGCUCAACUCCGGAACUGCCUUUGAUACUGGGGAUCUUGAGUCCGGAAGAGGUGAGUGGAACUCCGAGUGUAGAGGUGAAAUUCGUAGAUAUUCGGAAGAACACCAGUGGCGAAGGCGGCUCACUGGUCUGGUACUGACGCUGAGGUGCGAAAGCGUGGGGAGCAAACAGG
rnacentral:rRNA from 1 species